GGGUUGUGAGGUUAAGCGACUAAGCGUACACGGUGGAUGCCCUGGCAGUCAGAGGCGAUGAAGGGCGUGCUAAUCUGCGAUAAGCGCCGGUAAGGUGAUAUGAACCGUUAUAACCGGCGAUACCCGAAUGGGGAAACCCAGUGUGAUUCGUCACACUAUCAUUACGUGAAUACAUAGCGUAAUGAAGCGAACCGGGGGAACUGAAACAUCUAAGUACCCCGAGGAAAAGAAAUCAACCGAGAUUCCCCCAGUAGCGGCGAGCGAACGGGGAGGAGCCCAGAGCCUGAAUCAGCAUGUGUGUUAGUGGAAGCGUCUGGAAAGGCGCGCGAUACAGGGUGACAGCCCCGUACACAAAAGCGCAUGUGUUGUGAGCUCGAUGAGUAGGGCGGGACACGUGGUAUCCUGUCUGAAUAUGGGGGGACCAUCCUCCAAGGCUAAAUACUCCUGACUGACCGAUAGUGAACCAGUACCGUGAGGGAAAGGCGAAAAGAACCCCGGCGAGGGGAGUGAAAAAGAACCUGAAACCGUGUACGUACAAGCAGUGGGAGCACCCUUUGGGGUGUGACUGCGUACCUUUUGUAUAAUGGGUCAGCGACUUAUAUUCUGUAGCAAGGUUAACCGAAUAGGGGAGCCGGAGGGAAACCGAGUCUUAAUUGGGCGUUAAGUUGCAGGGUAUAGACCCGAAACCCGGUGAUCUAGCCAUGGGCAGGUUGAAGGUUGGGUAACACUAACUGGAGGACUGAACCGACUAAUGUUGAAAAAUUAGCGGAUGACCUGUGGCUGGGGGUGAAAGGCCAAUCAAACCGGGAGAUAGCUGGUUCUCCCCGAAAGCUAUUUAGGUAGCGCCUCGUGAAUUCAUCUCCGGGGGUAGAGCACUGUUUCGGCUAGGGGGCCAUCCCGGCUUACCAACCCGAUGCAAACUGCGAAUACCGGAGAAUGUUAUCACGGGAGACACACGGCGGGUGCUAACGUCCGUCGUGAAGAGGGAAACAACCCAGACCGCCAGCUAAGGUCCCAAAGUCAUGGUUAAGUGGGAAACGAUGUGGGAAGGCCCAGACAGCCAGGAUGUUGGCUUAGAAGCAGCCAUCAUUUAAAGAAAGCGUAAUAGCUCACUGGUCGAGUCGGCCUGCGCGGAAGAUGUAACGGGGCUAAACUAUGCACCGAAGCUGCGGCAGCGACACUAUGUGU
rnacentral:rRNA from 2 species